rnacentral:rRNA from 1 species
CCUACGGGAGGCAGCAGUGAGGAAUAUUGGUCAAUGGCCGGAAGGCUGAACCAGCCAAGCCGCGUGAAGGACGAAGGUGCCAAGCAUUGUAAACUUCUUUUGUCAAGGGACAAAAUCAUGCUCGAGAGCCUGACCGAGGGUACUUGAAGCAAAAGCAUCGUCUAACUCCGUGCCAGCAGCCGCGGUACUACGGAGUAUGCGAGCGUUAGCCGGAUUUAUUGGGUUUAAAGGGUGCGUAGGCGGACUGUUCAGUCAGCGGUAAAAGCCCGGGGCUCAACCCCGUCGUGCCGUUGAAACUGAUGUUCUUGAGUGGGCGAGAAGUAUGCGGAAGGCGUGGUGUAGCGGUGAAAUGCAUAGAUAGCACGCAGAACUCCGAUUGCGAAGGCAGCAUACCGGCGCCCAACUGACGCUGAAGCACGAAAGCGUGGGUAUCGAACAGGAUUAGAGACCCCUGUAGUC